rnacentral:rRNA from 3 species
AAAUUGAAGAGUUUGAUCAUGGCUCAGAUUGAACGCUGGCGGCAGGCCUAACACAUGCAAGUCGAACGGUAACAGGAAGCAGCUUGCUGCUUUGCUGACGAGUGGCGGACGGGUGAGUAAUGUCUGGGAAACUGCCUGAUGGAGGGGGAUAACUACUGGAAACGGUGGCUAAUACCGCAUAACGUCGCAAGACCAAAGAGGGGGACCUUCGGGCCUCUUGCCAUCAGAUGUGCCCAGAUGGGAUUAGCUAGUUGGUGAGGUAACGGCUCACCAAGGCGACGAUCCCUAGCUGGUCUGAGAGGAUGACCAGCCACACUGGAACUGAGACACGGUCCAGACUCCUACGGGAGGCAGCAGUGGGGAAUAUUGCACAAUGGGCGCAAGCCUGAUGCAGCCAUGCCGCGUGUAUGAAGAAGGCCUUCGGGUUGUAAAGUACUUUCAGCGGGGAGGAAGGUGUUGUGGUUAAUAACCACAGCAAUUGACGUUACCCGCAGAAGAAGCACCGGCUAACUCCGUGCCAGCAGCCGCGGUAAUACGGAGGGUGCAAGCGUUAAUCGGAAUUACUGGGCGUAAAGCGCACGCAGGCGGUCUGUCAAGUCGGAUGUGAAAUCCCCGGGCUCAACCUGGGAACUGCAUUCGAAACUGGCAGGCUUGAGUCUUGUAGAGGGGGGUAGAAUUCCAGGUGUAGCGGUGAAAUGCGUAGAGAUCUGGAGGAAUACCGGUGGCGAAGGCGGCCCCCUGGACAAAGACUGACGCUCAGGUGCGAAAGCGUGGGGAGCAAACAGGAUUAGAUACCCUGGUAGUCCACGCCGUAAACGAUGUCUACUUGGAGGUUGUGCCCUUGAGGCGUGGCUUCCGGAGCUAACGCGUUAAGUAGACCGCCUGGGGAGUACGGCCGCAAGGUUAAAACUCAAAUGAAUUGACGGGGGCCCGCACAAGCGGUGGAGCAUGUGGUUUAAUUCGAUGCAACGCGAAGAACCUUACCUGGUCUUGACAUCCACAGAACUUUCCAGAGAUGGACUGGUGCCUUCGGGAACUGUGAGACAGGUGCUGCAUGGCUGUCGUCAGCUCGUGUUGUGAAAUGUUGGGUUAAGUCCCGCAACGAGCGCAACCCUUAUCCUUUGUUGCCAGCGGUCCGGCCGGGAACUCAAAGGAGACUGCCAGUGAUAAACUGGAGGAAGGUGGGGAUGACGUCAAGUCAUCAUGGCCCUUACGACCAGGGCUACACACGUGCUACAAUGGCGCAUACAAAGAGAAGCGACCUCGCGAGAGCAAGCGGACCUCAUAAAGUGCGUCGUAGUCCGGAUUGGAGUCUGCAACUCGACUCCAUGAAGUCGGAAUCGCUAGUAAUCGUGGAUCAGAAUGCCACGGUGAAUACGUUCCCGGGCCUUGUACACACCGCCCGUCACACCAUGGGAGUGGGUUGCAAAAGAAGUAGGUAGCUUAACCUUCGGGAGGGCGCUUACCACUUUGUGAUUCAUGACUGGGGUGAAGUCGUAACAAGGUAACCGUAGGGGAACCUGCGGUUGGAUCACCUCCUUA